GUCUACGGCCAUACCGCCCUAAACACACCCGAUCUCAUCUGAUCUCGGAAGCUAAGCAGGAUUGGGCCUGGUUAAUACUUGGAUGGGAGACCACCUAGGAAGACUGGGUGCUAUAGGUA
rnacentral:rRNA from 1 species